UACGUAGGGACCGAGCGUUGUCCGGAUUCAUUGGGCGUAAAGAGCUCGUAGGCGGCUGCUCAAGUCGAAUGUGAAAACUCGAGGCUCAACCUCGAGCCUGCAUUCGAUACUGGGCGGCUAGAGUCUGGUAGGGGGAUCUGGAAUUCCUGGUGUAGCGGUGGAAUGCGCAGAUAUCAGGAGGAACACCGGUGGCGAAGGCGGGAUCCUGGGCCGUACUGACGCUGAGGAGCGAAAGCGUGGGGAGCAAACAGG
rnacentral:rRNA from 1 species